GCGCGGUGGUCCCACCUGACCCCAUGCCGAACUCAGAAGUGAAACGCCGUAGCGCCGAUGGUAGUGUGGGGUCUCCCCAUGUGAGAGUAGGGAACCGCCAGGU
rnacentral:rRNA from 1 species